ensembl:lncRNA
UCCUUCCUCCACAGGGUGGUGGGGUGGGUGGGAUGCCCAGGAUCUUGGCCUUGCAUUUCUCAGAGUUCUGAGCUGGGACACAUGAUUCAGAGCUCAGACACAUGGAGACCAUCUUGGCUUUGCAGCUUGGUCAAGCUAGGCCCCUUCCUGAGGCCCCAGGAUUGAUGACCUGGCUGUGCCAUCAGUGUGGGAGGGGUGUGUGUUCCACAAGUCUCAGGCACAAUGCCUCUGCCCUCUAGGAUAUACAUCCUUUGUCGAUAGGGAUAAAGGAAAGGUUGGGACUGUGCUGGGUAGUAGGAGACAGCACCUCUAGAAGCACCCAAUACAUAGAAGGCGAGGCUGAGCAGCUGAAGGAUUCAGGUGGCCCUGUAAUCACAAGGACAGCAUUACCAAGUUCUGAGGGGAAGUAACCAUGUCUGAUUGGAAGAAGGGCAUCUUGUAGGCCAAAAAGGCCCAAACAUCAGCUUUUUAGGACACUUACCCAGCUCAGGUGUUCCCAGAACAGCAAACCACAAACCAAUAGCUCUCCCAUGACCCUCAUACUAAGCUACUUGCUUGGUGGUUAUCCUCAGACCAAGGUCUUGACUGCUCAGAUCCAGCUGCUACCCAGAGUUGCCAGGAGGGGGUACACUCUGGCUUCUCUUUGGGGAAGGUCAGCAGAGCCACUCCAUUUACCAGGAUCUGGCCCAGGAGCCCUGGACACCUGGUGGAUAGAACAGAGAAAUCUGGAGGCACAGACAAGUCUGUUUCUGAGUUUCUGUCCAGAGGGUUAUGGCCUGCCCUCCCACCUACCCAGGUUUUGUGGUCAUCUGUCUUGGUACCAGCAGGGGCUAUCUAGGGUAGCUGGAAGCACAAUAGGUCUUUCAGGAGCCUAUGGCUCUAUGGAGUCUCCAGCCCAAGGAAGAUACAGUCCCCCGUUUAGUACAUAGUGUGGGGCAAGGAAGGACAUGAUCAAAACCCAUUGUUAUGGAAAAUGUUCCCAAGAAGCCUGAGCUUCUUGCAGUGGGACAUUCCCAGAGGAAACCUGGAGAUCCCAGGAAGUCCCUCCUGGGUGGUCAACCCCCAGCCCCGUCCCACUGCAAUCAGCUGGCCACAGGGUUUGCCACACUGGAGCCUCCAGCAGACCUGCCCCUCCCAAGGUGGAUCCUGUAUCCAGUUGGUCCCUGACUUGGUACAUUGCCACUGCUUGAACCUUCCAAGUUUUAAUUCUGCCUAAUAGAACAGCAUAGAUAAAGCUUGGACUAAGCAAACAGGAGCAGUGACUUUGCCCCUCCUCUGGGAGAAAACCUAUUGGCAGUAAGGAUAGGAAGUUACCUCACCAUUUAGCUAGACCCCAAGGCAGCUACCCAGAGAGCAUAGGCCCCUCCACCUGCCAGCAGUUCACAGACCUAGAGUCCCAAAGGAGGGCAGGAACUUCAACCAGGAAUCCUUUCCAUUUUGUUAUCCUGUUAGCUCACUGAUUAUCUGGACCCAGGUGUAUGUGGCUCAUAAAGCAAGUGGUGAUAGAGUAAUUUGCAAAAUUUGAGCUUUAGAUUUGAGCAGCUGGCCUGGCCAUCUUAUGGCCAUCACACCAAGCUACCGACGUGUUCAUCCCUGAGAAACUUGACUCCAUGACUGCCUCUUGGUCUGUUUACUGCUGUGUGUCCAAAGCCUAGAACAGGGUUGGGCCCCAAGUUGGUUCAAGGAGAACUGGGCUGCUUGACCCUGCAGGGCUCUCUGCUGCUCCCACAUCCCCAGGCUAUCUUGUGACUUAAGUGUGUCCACAUGUCAAGAUUGUGUCCUCUGACAAGGACCAAACUGGCACGGAGCAGGGUUCAGUCAACAGUUGAUAACCCAAAGGCUUUUCUUCAGAACACUAAGGAUGACCACAGUGUGACUAGAGAUGCAGAAGAGACCCUUGUCCCUUAUCAUGCCUAUUUCCUCCAUUUCCCUCAACAAUCCUAAGAUUCCUCCUUAGGCCCUUUUGAGCAACUAGACUACCAUAAUGGCAGGCCUUGUUCCUGCCCUGAUCCACUCAUAGGGCCCUGCUUAGCAACACUGGCUUGAGUUUGCCAUCUGCAGUAAUCUAGCUGGAGCCACAGAUCCACAGGCCAAAUAUUAGCUGUUUCUAUGGCAAGCAGGUCACAAGACUGCUCCUUUCCUCUUUGAGGAGCAAUAUUAGCUCUGAUCUCAACCACUAUGAUCACUGAAAAUCCACUCUCAGUGUCCUCUCAUGUGAAGGCCACAUUGCCCAAAGGCUGCACCCUUCACACUGGGAAGUUGAGAGGUUGCCCAGGUUACAAAGAGCAGAACCCUCUAUAUAGUCCUUAAUGUCCUCCAGGCAGCCUGCUAGCUGCCCUCUGCAGAUGGCCAGUAGGCCUGGGACUGGUGUUCCAGAGCAAGGGGAUAAGUCUCCCAGGACAGAUGAAUGUCCUGCCACCUAGGACUAUUUAGAAAGCCAGUUUCUGUGCCAGGCGUGGUGGUGCAUUCCUGUAAUUCCAGCACUCAGGAGCCCGAGGCAGGAGGAUUGCUGCAAGGCCAGGCUGGACUAUCUACUGAGACCCUCAAACAAAGAUUUGUCUCAAAGCCAACUUCUGACCUGACCACUAAAAGUGGGAUCCUUCCCAUCAGGACACAGGUGUGCAUCCAGAGUACAAUGGUUCGUCUUCGGCUUUCUGGCUCUCCUGGUGCAUGGCCCUAUUCCUAGAGGGCUUAUUGUUAUAGGUGCAGAUUUUCUGAGCCCUAGAGUAAAUUUCACCCACUCUCUCACUUGAAAAACUCACCUCCAUCUUACCACAGAUCUGGUGGUCUCUCCUGAGUCUCCAAAAGAGCCUCACUUCUUUCUGGUCUGAUCCUCAUUUCCUGCAUGGUAUUCUCGAAGGCCCAGCUCCCCUCAAAUCCCUCUCUCACUGCAGCUUUUGCUUCCAGGAUUCCUAGGCCCAUCCUCUCCACCAUUCCGGCGCGCGCUCAGAGGACAGAGGAUAGAACAGCCUGAAGUGGGCUUAGGAAGCUUUGAGUGUGAGUGACCUCGGGGGCAGCCAAAUGGCCCUAAAGGAACAGUAAGCCUAAGGAGCUCUUUCGUGAAGGGGUGGCUCAGGGCUGGGGGAGGUGGGUGGCCCAGUUUAAAGACAGAUUCCCUUGAGUUAAGGGAACAGGCCGAGAAGUCAUAUGACCAAGUGACAUCGUGAUUCACGAGACUGUACCUCAGACUCAAGCCAAUCUGCACGACCGCUGCUUCUGAACGCGGAGCCCUGGAGGAGUCGCCAGGAACAGAGCUAGACAUCCCGGAGGGGACCUGGAAGAGGCUGGGAGCAACCACGGGAUGGCCUGACCCCUCCGCAGAUAGACCUCCUAGCUCUCAACUUGGUCCAAGAACAUCAAGACCCUCAGCCCUGCCUUGGACCUAUGGGAGUCGUAGUCCGGACGUGAGUCCCAGCGUCCCGUGCGCCGCUGACGCACCGUAGCCGAGGGACCCGGCCGGGCGCCACGCUACGGAGGCGGCGUAAAGCGAGUCGUGUUUGGGCGGCUCUACGGAGGCUGCGUAAGAAGGCCGGGCCGGGAGCUCCGCGGCUGAGGCGUGCUGGUCGGGGCAGCGCGCCCAGGGACGAGUAAGGCUGCACCAUUCUCCUUGAAGUUGAGGAUCAGUCCACGGAGACGCCAUUCAGCCGCAAACGCUAAAGAGGCCCCGCUGCUCUCAGAGCCAGCCGCCCUGUCUCCGCCGUGGGCACUCUGCUCUCUCCAUGCUCCCGUUCGUGUGUUGCCGGCCAGAGGUGACCAGGCCCAGCUCUCAGCGUGGCCACUGUCAGGGAGGCCAUGGGGAGCUCCGCCUCCUCCCUGGCCACCGAGACAGAGUCAGACCAUGGCUUCCCUAGGGGGCUGCCCUACCCAGGGACCCCAGCAGCGGCUGGGUGGUGUAGGAGUGGCCCUGGGGCCCCCGUCUGGGGGAGUGCCCUGGUCACCAGGCAGCACCCACGCCCCCGGGCCCGAAGGUAAGAAGGUGGGGAGGGACUGUCCCAGAGGGGUCUUGGGCAGGAGGCCUCUUUUUCAAGGUGUCCCUCCUUGGCAGAGGUGCUUGCUCAGAACUGGGGACCCUGUCUCUCAGGGUUUUCUGGCAAUUUAUUCCCCACAAAAUGCAAGAGCUGAGAGGCUCUGGGCUUGUUUCCACUCUUGGCUAAGCAGGAUCCCUCCUCCCAGACCAGAGUAUGUCAGCACUGUCCCCUAUUGGGCACUUCUUUGCCAUGGCAUACCAUGCCUUGCAGAAGCUGCCUGGAGACCCUCUUGGACCAGGAAAGCUGCUGACCCCAGCCCUCAUGACUAUGACUCCCACAGUCUGCCAUCUGCUGGCAUGGUGAGAGGACCAGCGUGGAGCUGUGGGCAGCACACAGUAGACUGGACUCCUCAGGGGGCUUUGACGUAAGAUUUGAACUCCUGGAGAUGAAGGACAUGAAGGUGUCUUUGAGGCUGUGGGAGAAUCCAAAGUCCUAAGAACUACCCUUGUGAAUGGGAGCUGAAAUCUAGGGAGGACAGGAGCAGAAUAGCAGCAGAGACCAGUGAGAAGGGGGGUGGCCAGGCCUGGUGGCUGCACACUGCUUUUCCUGCACAUGAUGGUGUUAAGAGUGCAUCCGCAGAACCUCUCCAUACUUUGUCACUCUGGGGAACACCUCUAUGUGUCUUUUCAAAUAGCUUUAUUGAGAUAUGGCAUAUCCCAUCAAAUCACCUGUUAGUACAGUCAUUUCCAACCAGUUUAUAGCUUUGUUCAGACAUCCUCACAAACCAGUUAUAACAUCUCUGUACUCCAAAGAGAUCCUCCUGCCUGUUUGUAGUCGCUCCCUCCCUAUCAUGGUCCUAGACAGCGACUAACCUGCUGCCUGUCUAUAGGUUUGCCUUUUCUAGAAGUUUCACAUAAGCGGAGUCAUACAGUGUGUGGC